UCUAAGAGAAUAAGGAACAAAAGUUCCUAAGAACAAAAGUUCCUGUGGAAGUUCUGACGAACUUCUUCAAGUAAAGGUUGUUUUACUGUUGAGCUGUCAGGGAAAAGACAGUGGUUUCGCGAAGCGAAAGACAAUAUAUCCGGUGCCGAUGCGCUUAUGGGACACACCCGUUCCCAUCCCGAACACGAAGGUUAAGACGUAAGCGGCCGAUGGUACUAUGCUGGUGACGGCAUGGGAGAGUAGGUGGGUGCCGGAUUUUUUAAAAUAUAUUAUUAGUAAUUUGAUGUAAGGAGUUUAUCCUUACAUGACAUUGCUAAUAAUUUUCUUGGAACAGCAGUUCCUUUAUUAGCAACUGUACCUUGAAAACUGCAUAUCAGAGAAAGAGAAGAAAUUCAAUUUCAAUCGGAGAGAAUAGAAUCUAUUCUUAAACAGAAAGAGAACCGAGAAAAAUUCAUUCAUGAACCGUGCCCGUACACGACGCUGGUGUACGGGGGCAGAAGGUCAAGCAGAAAAGAGCACAGGGCGGAUGCCUUGGCACUGGGAGCCGAUGAAAGACGUGAUAAGCUGCGAAAAGCUGCGGUGAGGAGCAAAUAUCCCGUGACCCGCAGAUGUC
rnacentral:misc_RNA from 1 species